rnacentral:rRNA from 1 species
GAUGAACGCUGGCGGCGUGCCUAAUACAUGCAAGUCGAGCGAACGGACGAGAAGCUUGCUUCUCUGAUGUUAGCGGCGGACGGGUGAGUAACACGUGGAUAACCUACCUAUAAGACUGGGAUAACUUCGGGACACCGGAGCUAAUACCGGAUAAUAUUUUGAACCGCAUGGUUCAAAAGUGAAAGACGGUCUUGCUGUCACUUAUAGCUGGAUCCGCGCUGCAUUAGCUAGUUGGUAAGGUAACGGCUUACCAAGGCAACGAUGCAUAGCCGACCUGAGAGGGUGAUCGGCCACAUGGGAACUGAGACACGGUCCAUACGCCUACGGGAGGCAGCAGUAGGGAAUCUUCCGCAAUGGGCGAAAGCCUUACGGAGCAACGCCGCGUGAGUGAUGAAGGUCUUCGGAUCGGAAAACUCUGUUAUGAGGGAAGAACAUAUGUGUAAGUAGCUGUGCACAUCUUGACGGUACCUAAUCAGAAAGCCACGGCUAACUACGUG